rnacentral:tRNA from 1 species
GGGGAUGUAGCUUAGAUGGUAGAGUGCUUGCUUAGCAUGUGAGUGGUAUAGGGAUUGAUACUCUGCAUCUCCA